rnacentral:lncRNA from 1 species
AGGCUGGAGUAGACAGGAACCACGAGAGGCAGGGAGGACUGUACAGGGGUUGCUGACCAGGUGGAAGAUGAUGGGAGCCUCAGAAGGUGUCGUGGGACAGGGUCAGGGAGAGGGCUCUAUGCGGCCAGGAUCUGGAUGCAGAUUGUUGAGACUGAAAUUUGGCUCAGAUCCCUUCUAGUUGUGUCUGUUUAUCUUCAGUUUCCUUGUCUAUAAAAUGGGGAGAGAUUGUGUGUCCCCGGCAUCACUGGACUGUUAAUAGCUAUUGCAUUUAUAGCAUUUAUCCCAGAACCUGAAACACAGUAAAUGCUCAGUAAGUGUUAUUAUUUGCCCCAAACUGUCUUAGUGCUUUCCCCAAGAGCUUUGUGUUGUUUGUACUAUGAGGAAUAAUGAGGGUGGUGUGGGAGUCGGCCUCUGUGUCUGCAGAGAGGACCACAGGCCACAGGAAUAGAGACAGGUAGAUAGGAUCAAGGUGACAGGAACAGAUGUUCAGAGCAAGAGAUGAAGACGGCAUCAUCAACCCAGACAAGCCAGUUGGAGGCAUCUGUCCACCCAUGUGGUUCCAGACACGUUCAUGUGGCCACCAUGACCCCGUCGGCAUCACAGGGGUAACCAAGGUCCACAGAACGAGGGGAAAGGGUCACUGUGGAUCAAGCCAGGCUCCUCUGAGCAGUCCAGGGUCUAUUUACAGAGAGCAGCAAGUUCCUGGGACAGAGGAGACAGAAGGGAAUUUCCAGGUUCUUCAGGACGUUCACAACCACACUGAGAAGCAUCUUUGCAGAUAAGUAUUUAAACUUACCAGCCCAUAGCCUACCAGCCUGCCCUCUUCUGGUCUGUGCAGGAAAGUGUAGUAUCCUAGAAUGCCAAAGUGGGAGGGGAAAUGGGUGAUGUAGCUCAUUCUCUUUUCUACCUCUAUGGAAGAAAGAAAGAGCCUGUCCCCAUUUUGUGGGGUCCCAGAAAGGGUGAUUUUCACACUUCACAUUUGGCGUUAGGGCUAGUAUUUCACAAACAUUACCGUCUGGAACUUUUGAAGGCUGAGUUAAAUGACUUCAUCUUGUGUACUUGUAGAACUGCUAUUAGAAGGAGGCUGGGGACUCCCUGAUGAUGUGAACCAGCCCUUCUCUUCUCAGUUUCAGCACUUUGUGAUCAUAUUUAUAAACCUUGGACAGGGCUCCUUGGCCUUAGAGUUAAGUGAAGAGUUAACACUGUGACUUUAGAUGCAUUUUUCUCAGUGUAAGUGUCUGAGCUCAUCUCCAGUUCUGGACUCGUGCCCCCACUCCCGGGUGCUGACAGCAAGCUCUGAAGAUAUGCUGAGAGAGCUCCCUGACUCUCCUGACUCAGGUCUGCCAGUUGAUGAAGACAGCACAGUUGUUACCAAAAACAAAACCUGGCAGAUGGUCCUAGGUCAGGAUUAGUGGUCAUUCUCUGGUCUUCUCCAGACUGGUGACACAGGGUGGUCUUAAAAGAGUCCUAGUCCAGCCUCUGGCUCCCCGAAUUUCCUCUGGUGCAUGGGGCAUCAGGAAAGGGCAGGGGAGAAGGAGGGGGAGCAGAAAAAUAACUGAGGCUGGGCAGAAGGGUCCCUUCCAUUUCCCAUCCAUUGCUUCAAACAAUGGGUGAUUACCGUGCACCUUGAGUGAAUGUCAAGGCAGGAAGGGUUCCAGGGCCACCCAGUGUGGCAGGAGCAGAGCUGGGAUCAGAAUUCUGGAUUCCUGACUCUCCGUUCAGCUGCUAUUCAGCUAUCACCAAGCUGCUGAGUUUGUCCUACUUUCUCCUGGGUCACAUUCUGCUGUUGUUGGGAAACAGGGAGUGAGUGAAGGGAACCUGGGAACCCUUCUCCCCUCACCUUUUAAGGAUGUUCUGGGGUGGAAUAAAGAGAGGUGGAGGGUGGGGUGCCUGGGCCCAGCCUCCCUGGCUCCUGGUCCUUCUUUCUUCAGCAGGGAGUUCUGGCAAGGCCUGGGCCUGGGGAGGGGGCCUGGGUGCAGUUUUCUCCUGCGGUGUGGUUGGCUCUUUUGUCUUCCAGGAUGGGCCUGUGGGGUCUGUGUGGGGAAGGAAGGAGCUGGGAGCCUGGGCUGCCUGUGUGUCGGCUGGAUGCUGCCAGCACCGGCAUGGACCAAGCAACUUCUCUGAGCCAGAUGCUGGGGACGCAGAGGUGAACCCAGAGACAUGAUCCCAUCUGCUCAGAUCUUCAUGUCAGAACACGCUUUAUUACAGUCUCGGCAAGGGGGUGGCUCCAUCUGGGCCGCAUCUCCAGGACUCCUGGCCUGGACUUCUCUUUGGACCUCGGGUGACCUUGGAUUCUGGCCACAGUGACUUAGCGGUCAGACUCCGGUGGUUUUCUAGCCCGCUGGGUGACUCCCUGAAGAUCUCAUCCUCUUCACACCUGUUGGGAUGGAGCCUCCCAUGGAUAGGAACUCUUCCUGGUUGAUGCUCAGCAGAUGACUGAUCUGGCUCUGGAGGACAGCUCCAGGGGUAUGAGGGAGGCCUGGCAGCCCACUACUCCCUCCUCACCUGCUCGGGCCCUGCCUGCUGGGCCCUAUUGUCUGGGUCUGGGGGCCCUUUCCUGCCCCAUGUGAACUUGAUUCCUCCUCGCGUUUCUGCCGGUGACCAGACAGAGCCUGGCCUGGGCCAAGUCCCCACUGACCACACUUUCCCCAAGGCUGGGUCUCAAAGGACCCUACAGGAUGGGGACAGGAACAAGGAUGGGAGUCGGGGAGGGGCUGUCAGGCAGAGGGCAGAUGCAGCUCCUCGGGUGCCGCUGGCUGGAGUCCUUUGUCUCCAUUUGCUCAGUGCGUAAUUGUCAUUUUGUGGGGGACUUCCUUGGUGGGGCUUUUCCAUGCUUUUCCUCUCCCUGAUGGUUACAAAGAGGAGACAGUCAGGAUCUGGGAGGAGCUGGAGCCUUCCCCCUGUGCUGUUGAACUCUGGGAGGGGCAGCCAGAGGGGCUGAGAGUGCACCAUCCUGAAAAGAGAGGGUCUUUAAGAGAUAAGAUUUAGGCUAGGGAAAUUCACUAGAAAGAGACAGGUGGCCCUGGGUUUUUUUUCCUGCCAUCCAAAGGGAACCAGUCUUACCCAAAGGCUUAAGGGGUCACCUUAGCCCAGUCUCAGGACACUCUUCUCCAAUCAGAUCGCUGCUUCUAGUUGCACUGCUCCUGGAUUCUGUUCUUGGGGAACAGAAGGUGGCAGGACAGGCCCCACAAUCUGCAAUUCCAGCUCCCUCCAGAGGAGACAGUCCCAGCGUUUGCAAGAGAGCAGCUUGUGGCCUCCCUUAGGCAAGUUUAAAAGCCAGAUGUCCUUUUUCCCAGAAUGCGGAGUGGUGUGUACUAUUCAUCAGCUUGGGCUGCCACAGCACCAUGCCAGACUGGAUGGCUUAAACAUCAGGAAUUUAUUUUCUGCCAGUUCUGGAGGCUGGAAAGUCCAGAUCAAGGUGUUAAGACUUGGUUUCUGGUGAGGCCUCUCUCCUUGGCUUGCAGGUGGCACCUUCUCACUAUGUCCUCACAUGGCCUUUUCUCUGUGGAGAGGGACAGAGAGCAUGAGCAGGCUCUGGUGUCUCCUCCUCUUCUUAUAAAGACACUAAUAUCACCAUAUUAGGGCUUAAACCUAUGACCUCAUUUAACCUUAACCCCUUAAAGGUCCCAUCUCCAAAAACAGUCACAUAGCAGGCUACUGCUUCAACAUAUGCAUUUGGGGGAGGGGACACCAUUCAGUUCUUAACAGGGUGGUCACCGCAAACAUGGAAAGUCAGAGCCUUCUCCCCUUCAGAAUUCCCGCCCCCACCCAGGGAUGGGGAGGAGGAGCAGAGAGGUAUGGGAAGCAGACACGGAGAGUGGCAGGUACCAUGCUGGGGUGGCUCAGGAGUGCUUCGGAGGACAUAUGGAACUGGCAGGGCUCAGUGCAGGGAGGCGGAGGCCCUGGGAGAGCCGUGUCCUGAGAAGGGCCUGGGCUACAACCCUGGGCAAGUUACUUCACCUCUGAGCCUCCGAUGCUCUGUGAAAUGGAAGGAAUGUGCUUGCCUGUCAGGUGCAGGGAGAAUUCAGUGAGAUUGUGUGCCUAGCACAGUGCCUGACUCCCAGUAGGUGCUCAGCAAAUGCUCCCAUCCAUCUGGGAGUAUAGACUUAGGGUUUAUCUAUUUUUUUUUUUUUUUGGCUCUCUGGACUUUAAAACUCAGCAUCUUCUGAACCAGAGGCAUUUCUGAUUAGCCCUUCCCUACCUAUUUUCCUAGUAUCACUCUUUAAUCAGCUUGGGGAGGUGGCAGCAUUUCAUGGCCUCCGUAGUAACUCACAAUGCUUCCUGGGGUAUUUAAAUUCUACUCUCUCAUCAGCACUGAGCACCUACUUUGGGCCCUUUCCCGUGCUAGCCAUUUGGGGGAAAUAUAGGUGAAGAGUGGCUGGGGUUUGAACCUUUAGGAUUUCACAGCCAUGCUGGAUGGGAUAAAACCAGCUCACAUGGAGAAUCAGAGAAUGGGACAGUGCCACAAAACAGUCUACUGAGGCACAAGUUCUGAGUGCCUGGGAAGUGGUAGAGAGACCCCAGAGAGGGCUGCUGCAGUCUGGAACAGCUUCCUAGCAAGCUGUACCAAACAGGGCCUUGAAGGAUGAGAAAGAUCUGGCUGAGAUGAUACCCGACCCUCUAGGGAAAUUCUUAAAGUAACUUCUAGGAAAUGUCAUUGCUCCUUAAAAAAAAAAAAAAAAAAAAAAAAGCAGGUUCUAAUUCAAAUUCCGCUGCACUACUGAAGUAGUGCAGGACUUAUCAGAACCUUUAAAAUGCUAAUGGCAAUUUCAAAUACUCAGGGACAGGGCAUAGGAUGAAGUGUUCCUUGACUUUUAUGGCCGUAGAAUCUUUUUCUCAUGGAACAUCGUUUAGAACUGUGGGAGAUGCUAGGCUGGGGUUUCUAUGGGAAAAGUACAGCAGUGAUAGAAGAUGGCAUAAUUAGGGUACACUUAGGUGCUUUGUAGCAUUGGCUGAAAAGGAAGCAGACCGGGUGGGCGUGGGGGAGUCUCAACUUGGUUCCAGGAGCCAGGCCAGCUUGAUGCGUUUUUUUUUUUUCUAAUGGUGGGAGGGCAGGCCAAUAGUUGGAGAAACUAGAGGCCUGACAGUCGGUGAUGGAAGAGAUGUCUACUAAGCACGGUUGUCAGAUCUUUUGCGGAGAGAUGCGGGUGUGCGUGUGUCUGUCAGAGUGUAACAGGAUCCAGCCCUCUGGGAAGGGGCUGACCAGAACCAGGCAGGGGGUUUCUGUCUAGGACAAGUAGGGUCCAUUUUCAGGGGAGCUGAAAUAUUUGCAGGGGGUGCUCUGAGACCCACAGCCAAUAAAUAGGGAAGCAACAUGCUUUUGGGCAGGGUCCAUGUGGUUAGGGUUGAUUUUGAUGGGGCUGGGGGGCUUAGAGUUAGACCCCCUGCCCUGGUCAGGCCCCACUCCCUGGCUGGUGGGGGCGGGAGGCCUCUGAAGCUGCAGCUGGAGGGGCCGGGGCAGUGUUGCAUGGUGUGAUUAACCUACUAACCCAGGGCUCAGCCGGGACGCUGUGGCGUGUGACGAGGUGCCUGGCCUUCUGCCAACCAACUAACCCACUAACCAGGCCCGAGCAUGCCCUACUAACCACCCCCCCGCAGCCAGAUCCUACUAACUGUGCAGCUCAUGGGCCUUUCAAGGGGCUGGGAUAUGGGGGCAGCCAAGGCUCCAGAAGGCUCUGCCUAUGGGCUGGGAUCUUUGUGCAGACCCACGUUCCAGGACAGAGAAUGCAAAUAAGACUCACCAACUCUGCCACUUCCUGUUGAGUGAGUUUGAGUAAGUCACCUCACUUCUCUCAACCUCAGUUUCCUCAGUGGUAGAAUGCGAGUUCUGAUACCUUACAGGUUGCAGUGAGGAUUCCCGUCAAUAUAAGGGUCUCAGCACAUGGCAGACACCUAAAAAAAAAAAAAGUAUGAGGAUGGAGGAAGGCCCCUCAAACCUGGUUGAACACGUCUGCUGCCUAGGCCCUGGCCUCUCUGGGUGUUCUGCACACAGAUCCUUCUGCCUGGGGCAAGACACUUGGCUUUGAAUCCAUGUCACUUCCCCACAUUCUUCCUCCGUCUCAGCUUUCUUUUCUGUAGGCAGCUCUUUUGUUCGAUUACUAACCCGUCUAACCCCUGGGGUGCCUCAACUGCACCCCGAUCAUCCCUUAACAAACUAACGGACCUGCGUGCGUUCUUCCUUUUCUCUUAGCGACUCCUGUGUGUGUCUGCUGAGGUGCCCUGUCCGCUGGUGCUGUGCUCUGACUUACUAACCCAGCCCCUACUAACCCUGUUUUCUCUUCUUACUAACCCCAGCCCUGCCGAGCUCUGGGCUCCCCCCGGGGGCUGGUCCCCCUCCUUUUGGCAAGCAGAUGACCUGGGGCUACUGGCCCUGUAGACAGAUGUCCCACUUUGCUGCCCCAUAUUGGCUGUAAGAUCAGAGUCCACUGGGCCAGGUCUAAGGCAGGGGAUGGCCCUAUUAACAAGACUCAGAGGAGGAAGAGGUGGUCCUGUGGAUGUGGGAGGCUGGACUCUGAGUAUGACAUCUCUCCUAUGUGCAGAAGUCUGGUUGCCACUGGGAGUAGGUGGGACCAGGGAAAUCUCUGGGACGUGAGUGUGGAGGCCUGUUGGUCUAGACUCUAGACUGUGGAGCUCUGAGCUUUUGUGUCCUCUGGAAGGAAGCUGGGGAAGAAUCCUCUCCAUUGUUAAGUGACGGGGAUAGAAGCUGUCCUGCACAGGAAGUCACGAGGGGGGCGUAUCCCACGAGGAAGGCAGGAGGGGGCGUGCCCCUCACCGGAAAUUAGCAGAGGGGCGUGUCCCACACCGGAAGUCAGAAAGCGGAGCCUUUCUUACACCGGAAGUCAAUGAAGCGGGUCUUUCCUACGCUAAAAACCACUGAGUGGAGUAUUUAGUACACAGGAAGUCGGCCAGAGAAACAUUUCUCAUAUUUGAAGGCCGGAAAGAGGGACAUUUCUGACACCGGAAGUCAGUGAGAGGACUCUUUCCCACACAGGAAGUCAGCUAGAGAGCCGUCUCCCCUCUCUGGAGCCGAGAGAGGCCGGUUUCCCCCACCGUAAGUAGACGUGGGGCCGUGACCGGAAGUCCUUGGGAAAGAUCCGUCCCAUUCCCGGAAGCUAGAGGGCGUUAGUUGUCGGGUUGAAAAGGGGUGUGGGGAGGGGAAGCAGCUUUACCCCGGGCUCGGAGUUUGCAGGAGAGAGAAGUGGGGAGCAAGAAGUGAACCUCAGGGGCUCACAGGGUUCCCGCAGAUGCUCAGGCCGGCCAGGAAUGCAUCUCUGGCUCUCUGUUCCCACGGACGUCACUGCCUCAGCCAGCCUCCCCCAGAGCCCGCCAGCCGCUAAGCCGGGGCCACACCUGGGGGUGAUUUCAUGCCUCACCUCCAGUAGGCACCUUGGUUUCUUUGGGCUAAUCUCUGGCUCCCUUGCGCUAACUCUUGCUCUCACCCAGCUAAUCCCUGCCUCACCCUGACUGCCCCAGGGGCUGACCACUAACAACCAACCUGGCCCUGUCUGGGGGUUCCAGGCUCCUGGCCUGGCCCUGACCGGUUCUUAAUUAACCUUUCCUUCACCUUGACUAACUCCUGCCUUCCUGGUCUGUUCCUUUCAGCAGAAACUAAUGGUUUGUGGAUUUUUUUCUGACUAACAACAGGUCUAACAUUCCUCGUUACUGUUAACAGCUUGGAUGUCGGCAUGGCUGGGAAGGGGCUAACACAGCUUUGAACUUGGCUAACACAGGUUUGAACUUGGCUAACACAGGUUUGAACUUGACUAACACAGGGAAAAGCAUAGCUAACAAUUUUGGGCGUGGUGGCUGCUCUGAGUCAGAACAAUCAGAAGUCGGUAAAGAUGGUAGUUUUCUAAAGGAGGUGCCAGGGCUCUGGUGUGGACCAGGCCUGAUGGAGCAGUGGUACCCACCAAGGUGGGGUCAGAAGUAUAGCCAGUCUUGCAAGGUUUUGGCCAUUGGGCAUAUCUUCACUCCUCAUAGUCUGCAUUUGGUUUCAGUUCUUAAAAAAAUAUAGCCUUAUAGCUACAGUAGUUUGCACAAGUAGAUGCAGCUCUUAUAAACCUUAAAAUACCUGUCUGGUGUCUACAGAGCAUAUGCCAUUUUGUAUAGAGUCACCCUUCCCCAGGCCAGGGCCUAGAGUCUUCAUUUUGGGGACUUUGUGUUUUGGAAGUUCUAGGACAUAAAGCUUUAGAUCAGAGUAUUCAGAAGGGUUAUAACUCCGUCAGUCAUUUACAUGUUAGUAGUAUAAAUUAUCUGAGCUUCCUGUUCUAACUUUUAGCUCUUCUAGCAUAAACUCUUCUGUGCAAUUUAGCUGCACCGAGGAAACGGGAGUUUUUCUGGAAGGGACUUUUGAUCUCUUUAGACUGAGGGAACGUCCUUUGGGAGUAGAGGGGCAGGGAGCAUACGCAAGGGAUUCCAGGUGCAGGUAAAAGGUGGCACUAGUUCAAGGUUUUGCUGACUCAGUCUGGUAGUCAGAGUCUGCAGGAGAAGACAGUUCAAGGCAGGGCCUGGAGGAUUGGAUCAGUUUAGGGACAGGUCAAAGGCUGGCUUACAGACCUUAGAGGCAGGUUGCUUGGGUCGUUGAAUGCUAGUCUGGUGCUGAGAGCCCUUUUCUCUGGCAACUGUGGACUCAGAGCUAACCAAUUGUAGUUGGCAGUGGGGGUGAAGGGUGAUCCAGAGGCCUGAGCUGCAGAGGGCACAAGAGAGAAAAGAUGUCUUAGAAAGAGCUUUGAGAACAUGCCUUGGCUGCUGGCAGGGACCUUGGAUGGGGUAGUCUACACCCGGAAGUGCCUGCCUGCCAUCCUCUAGUGGCUGCCUUGCUCCAUUUCACUCAAAGCAGGAAGCUCACACCUCCUAUUCCUGAAACUCCUCUUUGUUUAACUGCAAAGACUUGAUGCUGCUAAGGAUCUACUAUGUGCCAGGCACUGCUCUGGGCGCUGGGACCUGCACCUGGGCUUUUUCGUCAUGGUGCUUUUAUAGCCUAGUGGGAGAGUUGGUGAAGUAGAUAGUGAUUCAGUGAGAUGGGUGUUAUGAUUGGUCAGGGGUCUGUGGGAGCACCAAGGAGACAGACAAGAUUGAUGUGCACCUACUCUGUGCCAGGCGUGUGCCAGGCAUUGGGGAUGUAGUGGUAGUUAAACACCAUUUGGUCUUCAGGAGCUUUAAUUCUAGUGUGUUGGGUGCAGGGGGGUGGAAUGGGGACAGAGAGACACCUAAUCCACCCUGUGGUGGCUUUCUGGAGAGGGAGGCAUCUAAGCUGAGCUGUGGCUGGGUGGAGUGUGGGUGGGGAUGAGUUCCGGGCAGCGAGAGUGGUGGACACCAGUUUCUGGGGAUCAGAGAGGAUCCAAAGAGGUUCUGGAAGGUUCAUGUGGAAUGUAGCAAGAGAUAGGAGACAUGGACAUGGUGCCGGGUCUGGUUGCCAAGAAGUUUAGAUUUUAUCCUUAGGCCUUGGGGAGCGACGGAUAUGAUCUGAGAAAGGGAGUUAGUGGAUUUGAGUUUUAGGCUGGCCAUUUGGCUUUUCCAGCCCAGGUGGAACUCAGAGGAGUUUGCAAUGGCCUCUGGCCACAUUUUAGACAACUGAGCAGAACUUUUUGAAACUAGGAAGACCCUUUGGUCCAUCUUUUGAUAAACAGAAUCCAUACAUGUCUACCCCAGUUGGAAGUAUCUCUGCAAUGACUGGAAAGUAAAGAGGACCAAGGUGAAAAUAAAGGCUCGGAAGGGGAGCAAUCUUGAAAACAUGUCAUCCCAUGGUGGUGGGAAGUCCCUGGAGAAGAUCAGGGGAAACACAGUCAUAGGCUGCAAGUCUAUAAGAUAAUUCCAUUGGGGAGGGAGCCCAUUUGUCAUGCAUGGCUGCAAGGGGCAGAUACAAGUGUGGAGUAAGCUUGCAAGAGCUGAUCCUGGUCCCAGAGAGGGAAAAAUAUGCCUUGGUGGGUAAUGAACCUUUUGUUCCCAGAGGCAGAAGGAUUGGGACUAGGCCAACAUAGAGAUUGGCGAUGGUUGUGAGAUUCUAAGAGUGUGUGUGCAUCUUGACAAUAUUAGAGGAGGCUGAGCCCAAGCAGGCACAUUCUCUUCGACCCCUCCCUCAUUCAGUCUGCUUUGGAGUCUACUGAACAUCAAGCUUGCUAUGAGCAGGAUCUUAGAGCUGAGGAAUUGGCCUCCCAAUCCGAACAGGUGUUAUAAUCCUUUCUUAAUAGGUUGUGCUGUGGACCCAAUGUGAGGGCUGUGCUGGUGUAAAUGGUGACAUGUUGAGCUGGGGGGAUGCUUUCGGGGUGGGGGGACUGGUUCCAUUCCAUCAAAGGCCCUCUUGAGAGUCUAUCCAGGGACCCAUUGUUUUACUUUAACAGACCAGAAAAGAUGUUUGUUUUCCAUGUCAUUACCCCCAGGGGAUACCGAAUGUGUGGGUAGAAAUUUCUCUGUAGAUUAAAAAUCAGAUUUUUACAUGGAUUCAACAAAGGAGCGUCACUUGGAUUUUUGUUUUCAUCCAUGAAUGUAGCUGCUUCUGUGUAAAAUGCCAUUUUGCUAUUAAAAAUCAAUUCACGCUGGAAACAUGACUGUGGCCUAUGAAGCAGAAGGGACGUGCUGUUUAGGGGAGAGGGGGCAGCCAGUGGCAUUCUCAAGGAGCAGGGGUGGGCUCUCUCGGUGAGUCAGCCUUUCCUCAAGAGUGACCCUAGAAGUCAAUAUAAUAGGGUAUUUUAUUUUUUAAUUUUGGUAAAAUAAUCAUAACAUAAAACUUCACCACCAUAAUAAUUUCUAAGUGAACAUCUUGGUGGUAUCAUUCACAUUGUUGUGCAACCAUUAUCACCAUUGGUAUUUAUUUUUCUUUUCUUUUUUUUAGAGAUGAGGUCUUGCUAUGUUGCCCAGGCUGGCUUUGAUCUCCUGGUCUCAAGCGAUCCUCUUGCUUCAGCCUCUUGAGUAGCUGGGACUGCAGGCGUGCACCACUGUGCCUGGUGGUAUUUUUAAAAAAUAACACUUCUUUAUGCCUAGGGCAGUGCUUCCAGAAAUCCAGGUUCUUAUUGCCA